rnacentral:lncRNA from 1 species
AGGGCACAAGUAAUACUUUAGUUCCAGCUUAUUCUUUACAUAGUAGCUUACACCCUCACUUAACCAAAUACAAGCUAGUAGAUUAAGUGGUCUACCACGUGCAUAUGCACACGUACUGAUAGCACCUCCUCUUAUUCUUCACUGACUUUAUUUAAGGAUUAAACAAAGACUUCUAAUUUUUGACACCCUGGCCUAGGUGUUGACUUAUUCCUCAAGCUCCUCUAACUCCUCACCAUGCCCACUUCCCGCGCACUCUGUGCAUAUCAAAGGGAAAAGAAAAACAGUAGUGAGUAUGUUGGGACAUACUCCCUCCGUCCGAAAAUACUUGUCGGAGAAAUGCAUAAAAAUGAAUGUAUCUAAAACUAAAAUACAUCUAGAUGCAUUCAUUCCUCCGACAAGUAUUUCCGGACGGAGGGAGUACUCAGCAAGAAUAUAAGAAUGCAAGAAUUAGUAGGUUGCAAGUUGAAUGUUCAUAAGGUAAAGAUACUUCAGCCUCCUGUUACCUUACAGGAGCAGGAUGGAAUUAUACCGGCGCAAACCUAUAGCAAUAAUCUCUGCAGAGACAUACUAAUAACCGUCGUAAUCUCCACCAAUGGUAAUACCUAUCUCCGGGAAUCACGACGCCGAGUCCCCUACUUGUGUGAGGCAUCUUCCAUCUCACACUAGUACCGACUAAAUUAGCCGCGUACCGUUAUAUCAGGUAUCGACCGCCCCGGGCUUGAUAUACCAUACUUACCAUGAUCACGACGGUGUACGUUCUUGAAUUGUUCAAACAUCGUCGUUUGAUCAAUCCGUAACCCAUGCACGGAUGGUUCUCACAGCCAUAAUAAUUACCAGCUCAUCACUUAUAUUCAUAUGUAAAAACAUUAAUGCUAGUAACCAAUUAAUUUGUUAACAUAUAUUAGAAGUUCAGUUUGAGGGAGAAGACUGAUAUGCACAGUCUUGCCUUGCAGUUCCUCCUCGGCUAAUUUUAAGCUCCAACUUAAACAUGUUACAAACGCCCAUCAGCUUAUUAUUUCAUGUGACUUGCAAGUGGCAACAGGGACAUGAGCAGCUAUAUGCAGUGGAUGUAACAAGUCGCUCUAUAGUACUCCCUCCGUCCCAAAAUUCUUGUCUUAGGUUUGUCUAGAUAUGUAUGUAUCUAACACUAAAACUUAACUAGAUACAUCCGUAUUUAGACAAAUAUAAGACAAGAAUUUUGGGACGGAGGGAGUACUUGGCUAUGCUAGAGUGAGGCGUGCACAUCCCACUUUAACCUUAGUACUGUUUCCAGCUAUUAAAUUUGAGAAAUACAACCACUUGCAUGCAUGCUAGCUAGCCAUGAAGAUUAUUUCUUUGCACAGGAUAUGUACGCAUGCAUGGGUCAUGUAGUACUAGUACUACUUGUUCCCACUCUUUCUUACCAACUAGUACUAGUUGUUGCUUCUUAAGCCAGCGAAUAAAUUCAUCAGUGUAACAAAGCAUGGAUCAACAAAAUGGAAUCCGUCCGAUGCAACUUCCAGUAUUUUAGAAUCUUGAUUAUCCAUCUAUCUCCUACCAGCGCUAAGCAAGAACAUCACAUCAGAUGUAGGAAAGAAAGAACAAGUAGCCUUUAUGGAGAGAGAUGCUAGCUAGAGAUAUCCCAAAGAAUCUGAGAUAGCUUCAUAGGACAAGACCAUGGAUAGAGCGUGGACUAAAGCUAGCAGGCCAUACCUCCUGGUUCCCUAAUCUCUCCUAGUCCUCUCCGUCCGGUCGCGGUCCUUCGGCUGCUAUCAACUGGGGUGGAGA